rnacentral:rRNA from 1 species
UACGAGAGGCCCAAACGUUAUUCGGAUUCACUGGGCUUAAAGAGUUCGUAGGCGGUCUAGAAAGUAGGGUGUGAAAUCCCUCGGCUCAACCGAGGAACUGCGCUCUAAACUACCGUGCUCGAGGGAGAUAGAGGUAAGCGGAACUUAGGGUGGAGCGGUGAAAUGCGUUGAUAUCCUAAGGAACACCGGUGGCGAAAGCGGCUUACUGGAUCUCUUCUGACGCUGAGGCACGAAAGCUAGGGUAGCGAACGGG